UUAAAAAUUUUAUUUUAUUAUUUCACUUAACAGUCUAUUUAAAUUUUAUCUGAGCAACUUUUUGGUGUAAUUCAAUAGCAUUUUUUGAGGUCCUAAUACCUUCCUUAUUUUGAAAUUGCCGCAGUAGAAAGUCAGCAAAAUUUUUAUUUAUAAAACUACAACUUUUUUUUAUUUAAAGAAUAAACAUUCAAAAUUUUUAUUUAUGAACCCAAACCUAAGAGGUAAAUAAUUUACCCUAUUUAAAAACAACGAAUUAUUGUUUUUUACCAAGCUUAUACAUUUUCUAUAUAUCUAAUUUUGAAAAAAUGUAUAAUAUUAAAUUAUUGUUUUUUACCAAGCUUAUACAUUUNUAUAUCUAAUUUUGAAAAAAUGUAUAAUAUUAAAUUAUUGUUUUUUACCAAGCUUAUACAUUUUCUAUAUAUCUAAUUUU
rnacentral:lncRNA from 1 species